rnacentral:rRNA from 1 species
CCCUACGGGGCGCAGCAGGCGUUGCAGUACUUCCAGUCGGCGCAGUCGGGCGCUAAGGUCGAGAGGCUGCUGCUUUGCGGAGGCGGUGCCUGCCUCCCUGGUCUUUCUGCUGCGCUCUCAAAGAAGUUGCACAUUGAUGUUGAAAUGUUUGAGCCAUUUGCCCAGAUGAAUCUCGGCGGAGCCUUAGCACAGAAUGGUGGCCCCACCUCGGAAGAGAGUCGCUUGCUUGUUGCCGCCCUUGGCCUUGCCACGAGGAAGUUCUGAGGGGUCGCAUUGAGAUCAACCUUCUGCCGACCAACUUCCGCGUCAAGUAGGUGCGUUUUGAGCGGCUGUUUGGGCGCCGCGUCGUGUGGCCUACAGUGCUCCUGGCUAUCGUCAUCGUGGCGGGCAGUUUUUUUCGGUUGACAUUGGCGGGAGGGC